GGCCUGUGGGCUCCCCAUUC
rnacentral:sRNA from 1 species